rnacentral:rRNA from 1 species
CAAGUCGAGUGGGUUUAGACCCACGGCAGACGAGGUAGUAACACGUAGGAAUCUACCCUAGAGUCGAGCAUAUUCCAUCGAAAGAUGGCGCAAUUCUCGAUAGUCACUAAGGUGUAAAGGAGCAAUUCGCUCUAGGAGGAGCCUGCGUAAUAUCAGCUAGUUGGUGAGGUAAUGGCUCACCAAGGCUAUGACGUUUAGGGGAGCUGAGAGGCUGACCCCCACCGAUGGAACUGAGAUACGGUCCUUACUCC